rnacentral:rRNA from 1 species
GACGUAGGGGGCCAGCGUUGUUCGGAAUUACUGGGGGUAAAGGGUUCGUAGGCGGUGUGGCAAGUCGGGAGUGAAAUUUCUGGGCUCAACUCAGAGACUGCUUCCGAAACUGCUGUGCUUGAGUGUGGGAGAGGCGCGUGGAAUUGCAGGUGUAGCGGUGAAAUGCGUAGAUAUCUGCAGGAACACCCGUGGCGAAAGCGGCGCGCUGGACCACUACUGACGCUGAGGAACGAAAGCUAGGGGAGCAAACAGG